rnacentral:misc_RNA from 1 species
AACGCAUAUUGCGCCCAUUAGUAUUCUAGUGGGCAUGCCUAUUCGAGCGUCAUUUCGACCCUUAAGCCCUUGUUGCUUAGCGUUGGGAGUCUACGUUUGCAGCGUAGUUCCUUAAAGUUAGUGGCGGAGUUAGGGCGUACUCUAAGCGUAGUAAUUUGUUCCUCGCUUCUGUAGUAGUCUUGGCUGCCGGCCGUAAAACCCCUAUAUCUUAGUGGUUGACCUCGGAUCAGGUAGGAAUACCCGCUGAACUUAA